rnacentral:lncRNA from 1 species
GUAAUCCUAGUUUGUUUAAAUAUGAAAAAAAAAGUUGAAUGCUUUAGUUAUCUUCAAAUAAUAAUCUAAUCAUCUUUAAUAAAAUGAUUUGGUAAGUUCUACCACUCUAGGCAUUUGAACACACUUUUGAUGACUUGCUUGCAACCUGUUUAACAAAUUUUGACCCAUUUCCUGCAAGAUCAUAAGUGAGCCGUCCCAUCAAGCUGUCGAGACAAAAAUACGACACACAUGGUUUCAAUAACCGUGUUUAAACAACAAUGUUUAGAACAUCGAUUCAAACACGAAAACCAGCAUUCCUAUACAGCGAUAUAUGUACAUAACCUACAAAAUAUAUAAGGGAUCAUGAUAAACAGAUCUCCACAAGGCGAAAUGGCAAACUAAACAAUCACAGAGCAUAUAUCUUUUCAUGGUCAUGGUCAGAUUCAUCAUCCGAAAUAUUAACCGAAUACGACCAUGAGAAAGAUUUGCUUCCACUCGCCCUCUUAAUCCGCCUCUGAGAAUCGUUAUUCCCAUAACGCUGCUGGAAAAUAGUAUAACAAAGACUCGCAAGUGUCCCGACAACAGUCACGACACCAACCACAGUCAUUGUAAUAGCCAUCCAUGAAUCCUUUUUCCCAACCACCACAAACGCAAUCGAACAAAACGCACCACAAGUACUAAUCCCUGCUGCCCACAUUAACUUAUUCACAACCGAAACAAUCUGUCUCUGGGCCCGCGUGUCCCACGCUACCAACGUGAUUUGAACCACCACAACCGCUAGAGAUAUAAACAGUGACGUGGCGUUAAAAAGACAAAAAGCCCGAAAAGCUGUAGUGCGGGCAAUAUCGGCUUCACCCGCUUGUUUACCCGAAUCCUGAUACUGGCCGGGGAGAUUGAAGAUUGCCAAAAAAGCUAUGGACGCGAAUAAGACAGCAACGACUGUUAAUGAAUUGAUAGUGUUUUGGACAGCUUCCCUGUGAAUCUUUUUGAGUUCUUUAGCUAUACCCGAAACACGUCUUUGUGUUUUUUCGUUUUGUAAGAGUUGUGAAUGGACAUCAUGUUUGAUGUCACUAACGGUCCUUUUGAGUUGCAUUUCUUCAUCGAUUCUACCAACAUGACGAGCGAGUUUGGCACCAGCUUCAGUGAGGGCUUCCAUGAUUGCUAACUUUGGUGGGCCAUAGCUCAGCUUAUCCGCUAUAUCCAUGGCGGUUUCUUGUUGAAGAUUGAUUACAUUGACACUUAUUGUGUUGAAGCUCAGCAACAUGCUUACAAUCUGAAAAAAUAAAAAUUCAAAAGUUUAGAAUAAAGCUUCUAAUGGUUCUGGUUGUAUUGGCUGAAAUUUUAUAACUCCUUUAUUUUAUUUUUAUUUUUUUCUAGAAUCUCAUUUACUAAUUUUAUUUACUAUUUCAAGCUCCAUAUAUUUUUUUUUCAAGCUUUGAUAGUUUGUUUCCACUACAUAUCCACACCAAAAGAUAAAGUAAUUCCAAUUUUUUUUCAAACUAGUUGUAUUUCUUUAUUUAUUUAUGAUGUCAUCCCGUUUUUAAACCGGUAAGACGACCAGUUCGAUCACCAGUCUGAUUACAAAAACAUUGAUUCUAUGGUUACAAAAGAUAUACUACUAAAAUAAUAAUAUAACAUAUCAUAACACUACAAUUAAUUGUUUUCAGAAAUAAAAAACUAACUUAAAAAUUGCGUUAUAUAGAAGUUUAGCAUUUAACAGGACAACCGAACCAGACCAUGACCAUUUUGAUCCGAGCCCGUUUUAGCCAACUAGCUGAGGUUUAGCAUUUAACACGUGAUAGAACAAAAGAAAUAAGCAUAUAAUUAUAGAAAGUACCGGUGAUCGGGAUUUCCUUGUAGCUAUAUGAAUGGCAGUGUUACCCUUCUUGUCACGCUCAUUUAAAAUGGAGUGACCCGCAAGCAAUAACUCCUCCACGACAGCAGUACUCUGCCCUUUUACAGCCAUAUGAAGUGCAGUUUGACCCUUUUUAUCUUUAAUCGUAUGCAAUGCCGUUUUACCAUUCUUCCUCACUAUCCUUAUGCAAGUAACAUCUGCAUCUAA